CCUACGGGCGGCAGCAGUGGGGAAUAUUGGGCAAUGGGCGCAAGCCUGACCCAGCAACGCCGCGUGAAGGAAGAAGGCUUCCGGGUUGUAAACUUCUUUUAAGAGGGAAGAGCAGAAGACGGUACCUCUUGAAUAAGCCACGGCUAACUACGUGCCAGCAGCUGCGGUAAUACGUAGGUGGUAAGCGUUGUCCGGAUUUACUGGGUGUAAAGGGCGUGUAGCCGGGCUUACGAGCCAGAUGUGAAAUUCCGGGGCUCAACCCCGGACCUGCAUUUGAAACUGUUGGUCUUGAGUAUCGGAGAGGCAGGCGGAAUUCGUAGUGUAGCGGUGAAAUGCGUAGAUAUUAGGAGGAACACCAGUGGCGAAGGCGGCCUGCUGGACGACAACUGACGGUGAGGCGCGAAAGCGUGGGUAGCAAACAGGAUUAGAUACCCGGGUAGUC
rnacentral:rRNA from 1 species